rnacentral:rRNA from 1 species
CCUAUGGGUUGUAAACCUCUUUUUUCAGGGAGGAACACAAUGACGUGUACCUGAAGAAUAAGCAUCGGCUAACUUCGUGCCAGCAGCCGCGGUAAUACGAAGGGGGCUAGCGUUGUUCGGAAUUACUGGGCGUAAAGCGCACGUAGGCGGACUUUUAAGUCAGAUGUGAAAUCCCAAGGCUCAACCUUGGAACUGCAUUUGAAACUGGGAGUCUAGAGAUCAGGAGAGGUUAGUGGAAUUCCGAGUGUAGAGGUGAAAUUCGUAGAUAUUCGGUGGAACACCAGUGGCGAAGGCGACUAACUGGACUGAUACUGACGCUGAGGUGCGAAAGUGUGGGGAGCAAACAGGAUUAGAUACCCUGGUAGUCCACACCGUAAACGAUGAGAGCUAGUUGUCUGCAGGCAUGCCUGUAGGUGACGCAGCUAACGCAUUAAGCUCUCCGCCUGGGGAGUACGGCCGCAAGGUUAAAACUCAAAGAAAUUGACGGGGGCCCGCACAAGCGGUGGAGCAUGU